AACGGCGAGUGAAGCGGCAACAGCUCAAAUUUGAAAUCUGGCGCAAGCCCGAGUUGUAAUUUGUAGAGGAUGCUUCAGGGCAGCGGCCGGUCUAAGUUCCUUGGAACAGGACGUCGUAGAGGGUGAGAAUCCCGUAUGCGACCGGUUGGCACCCGUCACGUAGCUCCUUCGACGAGUCGAGUUGUUUGGGAAUGCAGCUCUAAAUGGGAGGUAAAUUUCUUCUAAAGCUAAAUACCGGCCAGAGACCGAUAGCGCACAAGUAGAGUGAUCGAAAGAUGAAAAGCACUUUGGAAAGAGAGUUAAAAAGCACGUGAAAUUGUUGAAAGGGAAGCGCAUGCAACCAGACUUGUCGGCGGUGUUCCGCCGGUCUUCUGACCGGUCUAUUCGCCGCCGGCAGGCCAGCAUCAUCUGGGUGCGCCGGAUAAAGGCGCGGGGAAUGUGGCUCCUCGGAGUGUUAUAGCCCCGCGCACAAUACGGCGCCGCCCGGGUGAGGUCCGCGCUUCGGCUAGGAUGCUGGCGUAAUGGUUGUCUGCGGCCCGUCUUGAAACACGGACCAAGGAGUCUAACAUCUAUGCGAGUGUUCGGGUGUCAAACCCCUACGCGUAAUGAAAGUGAACGGAGGUGGGAAGCGCAAGCUGCACCAUCGACCGAUCCUGAUGUCUUCGGAUGGAUUUGAGUAAGAGCAUAGCUGUUGGGACCCGAAAGAUGGUGAACUAUGCCUGAAUAGGGUGAAGCCAGAGGAAACUCUGGUGGAGGCUCGCAGCGGUUCUGACGUGCAAAUCGAUCGUCAAAUUUGGGUAUAGGGGCGAAAGA
rnacentral:rRNA from 1 species